rnacentral:sRNA from 1 species
UCUCAUCCAAGUCCAGCGCAUUAGCUGCAGCUCGUAGAGCCGAAAGGGAGGGAGAAAAGAAGCACAGACAAAACAGUGAAGCAGAGAGACUUGUAUUGGCUGGAGUGGAGAUUCCAGAACCUGUUUUCUUCUGUACCAUAGAACCCCCGUCAGUGUCUAAGCAGCCAGAUUUGGAACAUGCAUUGAAAUGUCUUCAGCGUGAAGAUCCAAGUUUGAAAGUGAGGCUAGAUCCUGACUCUGGACAAAUACCUUAGAUAGAACUUUAGGAGACAAAAGGCAUCUUGUGACUGUAGAAGUGGAAGCAAGGCCAACUGAAACAACAUCUGUUAUGCCAGUGAUUGAGUAUGCUGAAAGUAUCCAUGAAGGCCUUUUGAAGGUCUCCCAAGAGGCCAUUGAAAAUGGAAUUCACAGCGCAUGCCUCCAAGGCUCUGAAGAAAGCUGAUAAGCAAGUUUUGGAGCCUCUGAUGAAUCUUGAGGUUACAGUAGCUAGAGAUUAUCUCAGCCCUGUCCUGGCAGAUCUGGCACAAAGAAGAGGAAACAUUCAGGAAAUUCAGACUCGCCAGGACAACAAAGUUGUUAUUGGAUUUGUUCCCUUAGCAGAAAUUAUGGGUUAUUCAACUGUGCUUCGAACGCUAACAUCAGGCUCAGCUACUUUUGCCUUAGAACUAUCUACUUAUCAAGCCAUGAAUCCUCAAGAUCAAAAUACACUGCUCAACCGGAGAAGUGGUUUGACUUAAAUGUUUUAGUUUUUGGAGAGAAAUUCAGGAGCACCUAGCUACUUCAUUUUCAGUAAGAACAAUUUUUAUUGCUUUAUUUAUUGGACGAAUAAAGUACUGUUUCAGUACAUUCAGAGAACUAGAUAAAAGAUAUAACUUAAGCUUUGAUAGUGGCACUGGAGCCACCCGUUUUAAUUUAUAUAAUGAGAAAUGUGCUUUGUUGUUUAAAGCCACUGUACCUGAAUCAUGCUGUUCAUCUAUGAAGUUAUUACUAUAAGUAGCCUUCGGAAGAGUGGUAUCACGAAGUCGUGUUUCUUUUGUGUCUUUAAGCUUGUCUCACGAGAAAGAUGCCAGGCCUCUAUAUGUAAUAAGAUAGAGGGUCAAAGGUUCAAUCAAUAAAAAU